rnacentral:rRNA from 1 species
GAGUUUGAUCGUGGCUCAGGACGAACGCUGGCGGCGGGCCUAACACAUGCAAGUCGAACGGUAACAGGAAACAGCUUGCUGUUUCGCUGACGAGUGGCGGACGGGUGAGUAAUGUCUGGGAAACUGCCUGAUGGAGGGGGAUAACUACUGGAAACGGUAGCUAAUACCGCAUAACGUCGCAAGACCAAAGAGGGGACCUUCGGGCCUCUUGCCAUCGGAUGUGCCCAGAUGGGAUUAGCUUGUUGGUGGGUAACGGCUCACCAAGGCGACGAUCCCUAGCUGGUCUGAGAGGAUGACCAGCCACACUGGAACUGAGACACGGU